GCCAGCCAGGAAGGAGGAGGCAGCCAGAGAGGCCUCCACUGUUCUCUGCAGCAGAAGACCCCCUGCUGCCAGAGGCGGAUAGGAUAUCGCAUGCAAGGCACUCUGCUGACACCAUGAAUUGCAGAGAUGCUGGUUUCGGAAUCGGAAUGAAGAAAGCUGCACCCUCCACAGGCGUUAAAUCUCCACUCGGCAUCUCCUUCUAUUCACAAACAGCAAGAAUAGCUAUGAAAUGGUGAAAAAUGCAGCCGAGUCAUUUUGAGAAUGAUUGUAUGAGAUGCCACAUCUAAGCUGGUAGAGGGACUCACCCUGAUCUAGCCAAGAUCAAGUCAUUCCCAGGGAUUAUAUUGAAGAUGAGAAAAGGUCAACAAAAGUUUAAGUACUCUUCUUGUUAGCUGCUUUUAUUCACAGUUGCAUUUACAUUUGAUGUAUGUAUCAUGGUUUAGCCAAAUAAACAAGCUGCACAUUAUUCCAUUA